AUGCAUGGCCGGCGUCGCAUGAAUCACAGUGAAGACCUCAGCCGGCCGCUGCGAGUGGUCGCCAGUCCAUGCCAUGGGGCGGGGCGGAACUUGGCGAAGGGGCUGGGACGCGAGGGGCGAAGGCGAGGACGAAGGAGUGCGGGCCGGCGCCGCGGGUGCCGCAGGCGCAGGACGGGGGCGGCAGGGUCGCGCACCCGAGUUGCCUGGCCGGAGGUGCGGGGCAGGUUUGUUGGAGCAGCUCCUCGCGCGGUGACCAUGCUGGAAGCAGCGGCGACAAGUAAUUUGGUUGCGGCAGCCCGCUUGUCGAUGGCGAGGUAA
rnacentral:rRNA from 1 species